rnacentral:rRNA from 1 species
GAUGAAUGCUGGCGGCGUGCCUAACACAUGCAAGUCGAGCGGCAGCGCGCGGAGUUUACUCUGUGGCGGCGAGCGGCGGACGGCUGAGUAACGCGUGGGAACAUGCCCCAAAGUGAGGAAUAACUGCCCGAAAGGGUGGCUAAUACCGCAUAUGGUCUUCGGAUUAAAGGAUUUAUCCGCUUUGGGAGUGGCCUGCGUACCAUUAGAUUGUUGGUGAGGUAAUGGCUCACCAAGUCGACGAUCGUUAACUGGUCUGAGAGGAUGAUCAGUCAGACUGGAACUGAGACACGGUCCAGACUCCUACGGGAGGCAGCAGUGAGGAAUCUUCCACAAUGGGCGAAAGCCUGAUGGAGCAACGCCGCGUGCAGGAUGAAGGCCUUCGGGUUGUAAACUGCUUUUAUAAGUGAAGAAUAUGACGGUAACUUGUGAAUAAGCACCGGCUAACUACGUGCCAGCAGCCGCCGUA